AGCGAACGCUGGCGGCAGGCCUAACACAUGCAAGUCGAACGGACCCUCCGGGGUUAGUGGCGGACGGGUGAGUAACACGUGGGAACGUGCCUUUUGGUUCGGAAUAGCUCCUGGAAACGGGUGGUAAUGCCGAAUGUGCCCUUUGGGGGAAAGAUUUAUCGCCAUUAGAGCGGCCCGCGUCUGAUUAGCUAGUUGGUGAGGUAAAGGCUCACCAAGGCGACGAUCAGUAGCUGGUCUGAGAGGAUGACCAGCCACAUUGGGACUGAGACACGGCCCAAACUCCUACGGGAGGCAGCAGUGGGGAAUCUUGCGCAAUGGGCGAAAGCCUGACGCAGCCAUGCCGCGUGAAUGAUGAAGGUCUUAGGAUUGUAAAAUUCUUUCACCGGGGACGAUAAUGACGGUACCCGGAGAAGAAGCCCCGGCUAACUUCGUGCCAGCCGCCGCAGUAAUAC
rnacentral:rRNA from 1 species